rnacentral:rRNA from 1 species
UACGUAGGGCGCGAGCGUUGUCCGGAUUUCUUGGGCGUAAAGAGCUCGUAGGCGGCUUGUCGCGUCGACCGUGAAAACUCGCAGCUCAACUGCGAGCCUGCGGUCGAUACGGGCAGGCUAGAGUUCGGUAGGGGAGACUGGAAUUCCUGGUGUAGCGGUGAAAUGCGCAGAUAUCAGGAGGAACACCGAUGGCGAAGGCAGGUCUCUGGGCCGAUACUGACGCUGAGGAGCGAAAGCGUGGGGAGCGAACAGG